rnacentral:rRNA from 1 species
AAAAUUUAAAAUUUACGUGAAUUAGAGUGUAAAUGGGUUUAGUUAAUAAAAUCAAUUUUUUUUAAAAGGAGUUUUUGUAUAGGUUAUAGAUUAAAAUUUUUAAUGUGAUAGUUAAAUUGUAUUGUGAGAGGUUAUUGAAAUAUAUUGAAAAUGUAAUUUAAAUAAAGUAGAUUUAGUUUAUUGUACCUUGUGUAUCAGGGUUUAUCUAAAAAUUUAUAGUUAUUUAUAGAUCCCGAUUUAAAGAGAGUUAACUAUUUUUUGUUUGGUUUUUCAAGAAAUGAAUUUAAUUCAGUUAUUAAAUUUAUUUAUCUAAUUAGUUAGUUAAAUAUAGUUUAAUAAAAAUGUAUUGGGGGAUAAGCUUCAAUGCAUUAUUUAUAAAUUAGUAUUUUUUGUAGGAAUUUUGUAGGUUUAGAAUUAGCCACCAAUUAAAGGAUGUUAUAAUUUAUUUCUUGCGGAAUAUAAUUUUAAAAUAAAAUUUAAAUAGUAUAUUGAAAUAUAAUCUUGAAUUUAAUAAGGUUAGUAAUAAUGAUAAAAUUAGUAUAAAUAAGUUGUUGAUUGAAAUGUAAUUGAAAGGUUAUAUUAAGGAAUUAGGCAAAUUAAUGCUCGCCUGUUUAACAAAAACAUGUCCUCUUGAUUAUAAUAUGGGGUCUGACCUGCCCACUGAAUUUUACAUUUAAAGGGCCGCGGUAUUUUGACCGUGCAAAGGUAGCAUAAUCAUUAGUCUUUUAAUUGAAGGCUGGAAUGAAUGGUUGGACGAGGUAUUGACUGUCUCAGUGUGAUUGAAAUUAGAAUUUAACUUUUGAGUCAAAAGGCUUAAAUAUUUUUAAAGGACGAGAAGACCCUAUAGAGCUUGAUAUUUAAAGAUUAUUACUUAUUUAGAAAAAGGUAUUUUUAUAGUAAUCGGUGAAGUAUUUUGUUGGGGUGACAGGAAGAUAAAAGAAACUCUUUUUUAUCAUUAAACAUUGAUGUAUGAAUUUUUGAUCCAUUAUUAGUGAUUAUAAGACUAAGUUACCUUAGGGAUAACAGCGUAAUCUUUUUCGAGAGUUCUUAUCGACAAAAAGGGUUGCGACCUCGAUGUUGGAUUAAGGGUAAUUUUGGGUGUAGAUGUUCAAAGUUUAGGUCUGUUCGACCUUUAAAUCCUUACAUGAUCUGAGUUCAGACCGGUGUAAGCCAGGUCGGUUUCUAUCCUUAAUAGCUUGUAAUGUUUUAGUACGAAAGGACCAGGCAUUAGGAAAAAUUUUUCUUGAAUAUUGAUUUAUAUUAAGUAG